GUCAAAUGGCGUCACAAGUUGAUUCCCAGUUGUAUUUAGGUGAGAUUCCUUUUUGCACACUAGAUCCAAAUUCAGGCCAGCUUGUAUAUUGGUUAUUUGACGACUUCACUGACAAAUACUUUAAGUUCAGCUACUGCUGAAUUCUUCGUAUGUGAAACCGAAAGUUUUUCCGACAUGGGCAUUAUUUAUGGUGAACCUCGUGUUGACUAAAGCAGUCCGAUUGAGUACUUUCAAGACCUCAACUAUACACCGAGGCAUAUCUAUUUGUUGGGUUUUGUAUAAAAUGAUUUAAUGUUUAACUUAACUCAUUGGUCAGUGUCACUCAUUCUUGCUAAAACCCUUUGUCAUAAUCAAUGUGGUAACUAAUUUAUAGUUUUAUUACCCUUUAAUAUUUUAGAAGAAUGCCAAGGACUUAUGUGAGAAAAAACAAUGAGUAGAAACCGACUGAAGAAAAUAUUACAUCUGCCAUUACUAAUGUUCUCAUUGGUCGCUACACAAUCAGAAAGGCUGCUGAAAUUCACAAUGUUAAAAAAUCUACUCUGUGUUAUUAUAAAUCCCAACAUACCUUGUCCAGUGUAAUGUUGGUCCGAUUCAUCAAGAGAAAAGAAAAUCACAGUCAAAUUUUCAAUUUCAAACAAGAAGAACAUCUUGCACAGUAUUUGAAGGAAUGAUGUUUAUACAACCAUAGUCUGUCAAUUCAAGAGACGAAGAAGCUCGCCUUAUCAUUUGCACAAGCAAACGACGUGAAUGCUCCACAGAAUUGGCUAGAGAAAGAAGAAGCUUCCAAGGACUGGCUAACAUGUUUUUUUUAAAUGGAAGCGAAAACAUUUUAUCUGGAUUUGUGAAAGCUGGCAUUUGGCCAAUUAACAGAAGUAUAAUCCCCGCAUCUGAAUUCAGCCCGAGUUUAGUUACGGACAGAUUGGAAAUCGCAAAUGCUUCCACUGGGAAUGCAGGAUCAACCAAAGACUUUAUCUUGAAUUCAAAUAUAAAUCUGGCAAUCAGGUCAUCAGUUGAAACUUUUUGCGACAAGCCUUCUACUAGUGGUGACGCAAAUACUAUUGGUAAAGAAAUUCUGAUUCCGUCCGUAACGCGUUCGGAAAUGUUUUUUUGGUACUAUCCGGCCAUUUCCUAAAGUUUGUCAAACACCAGUUACUCGCCGGACUUCUAGUCGAUUAGGAAGGACAAGAAUUUUAACAGAUUCACCAGAAACUAAAACUAUUGAAGAAGACUUCAUGAAAAAAAGGAAAAAAAAUUUAAAAUGAAAAAAAAAAAUACAGUCAAACGUCAACUGACACCAA